UCGGGUGACAGGAGACAGGUGGUGCAUGGUUGUCGUCAGCUCGUGUCGUGAGAUGUUGGGUUAAGUCCCGCAACGAGCGCAACCCCUACGUUUAGUUGCUAACGCGUGAAGGCGAGCACUCUAGACGAACUGCCGUUGACAAAACGGAGGAAGGUGGGGAUGACGUCAAAUCAUCAUGCCCCUUAUGUUCUGGGCUACACACGUGCUACAAUGGCCGGUACAGACGGACGCAAAGCCGCGAGGUGGAGCCAAUCCAUAAAGCUGGUCUCAGUUCAGAUUGCAGGCUGCAACCCGCCUGCAUGAAGAUGGAGUUGCUAGUAACCGCAGGUCAGCUAUACUGCGGUGAAUACGUUCCCGGGCCUU
rnacentral:rRNA from 1 species